rnacentral:tRNA from 1 species
GAAAUAUAUCAAUCAUUAAACUUCUAAUUUAAUUAAUAGUGAAUAAAACUCAUUAAUAUUUCA